AUUGAACGCUGGCGGCAGGCCUAACACAUGCAAGUCGAGCGGAUGAAGGGAGCUUGCUCCUGGAUUCAGCGGCGGACGGGUGAGUAAUGCCUAGGAAUCUGCCUGGUAGUGGGGGAUAACGUCCGGAAACGGGCGCUAAUACCGCAUACGUCCUGAGGGAGAUAGUGGGGGAUCUCCGGACCUCACGCUAUCAGAUGAGCCUAGGUCGGAUUAGCUAGUUGGUGGGGUAAAGGCCUACCAAGGCGACGAUCCGUAACUGGUCUGAGAGGAUGAUCAGUCACACUGGAACUGAGACACGGUCCAGACUCCUACGGGAGGCAGCAGUGGGGAAUAUUGGACAAUGGGCGAAAGCCUGAUCCAGCCAUGCCGCGUGUGUGAAGAAGGUCUUCGGAUUGUAAAGCACUUUAAGUUGGGAGGAAGGGCAGUAAGUUAAUACCUUGCUGUUUUGACGUUACCAACAGAAUAAGCACCGGCUAACUUCGUG
rnacentral:rRNA from 1 species